CUUCAUGUGUGUUCCAUCUAUCACACACCUACAUCCAUAACCCACUUGCUCACUACCUGAAAGAUUAUCUAUUCGAAAGGAGGCAGGACCUGGAAAAGAUGAGCCACUUCACUGCAUUCAUUCUAUUGACAGUUUUAUGUGCAUUUCUUGGUGAAGCUGAAGCAAACCCAUUUGUUUACAACUAUGAGAGACUGCGGAUUGGAGGGAUUAUCUUCACCAUCCUGCUUGUAAUAGGGGCCCUUGUAGUUCUUUUCCAUGACAAGUGCGGGAAAAAGAACAAGAAAAGUGAAGAGGAUAGUCAGAUCUGAAAAUUUCAUGGGGAUUUAACUAAUGUCUGUCUUCUGUUCCCAAGUCAUGGAAAUGUUGCCCUGCGUGGCUAAAUGAGAUGCUUGAUCUGUCUGACUGCUCAAAAUAUGGCUGUUUUUUUCUCGCCUCCCAAAAAGAAGUUGGUAAAAUAGGACUAUUUUUGAUGCAGUCUGAUUCUCUUGGGUAACCAGGGACAAGAACACCUCUUCCAUACUUCCCCUCUAAUGUUAUUUAACUUUAUUUAAACUCUUAUCAUCUCUUCAAAUGCUUUUUAUGUACAAUACAUAGACAGGAUUAAUGGUAGUUAUGCAGAAAAUCAACUGAAAAUAAAAUCAAUUUUAGUCUUUA